AGCUCUCUGCAGUGGCUGUAUCACAGCCAAUGAGGUUUAUCCAAGGCAUGAUUAUUGCUAAUGGAAAAUGA
rnacentral:snRNA from 1 species